rnacentral:rRNA from 1 species
AGAGUUUGAUCCUGGCUCAGAUUGAACGCUGGCGGCAGGCCUAACACAUGCAAGUCGAGCGGAUGACGGGAGCUUGCUCCUUGAUUCAGCGGCGGACGGGUGAGUAAUGCCUAGGAAUCUGCCUGGUAGUGGGGGACAACGUUUCGAAAGGAACGCUAAUACCGCAUACGUCCUACGGGAGAAAGCAGGGGACCUUAGGGCCUUGCGCUAUCAGAUGAGCCUAGGUCGGAUUAGCUAGUUGGUGGGGUAAUGGCUCACCAAGGCGACGAUCCGUAACUGGUCUGAGAGGAUGAUCAGUCACACUGGAACUGAGACACGGUCCAGACUCCUACGGGAGGCAGCAGUGGGGAAUAUUGGACAAUGGGCGAAAGCCUGAUCCAGCCAUGCCGCGUGUGUGAAGAAGGUCUUCGGAUUGUAAAGCACUUUAAGUUGGGAGGAAGGGCAGUAAGCUAAUACCUUGCUGUUUUGACGUUACCGACAGAAUAAGCACCGGCUAACUCUGUGCCAGCAGCCGCGGUAAUACAGAGGGUGCAAGCGUUAAUCGGAAUUACUGGGCGUAAAGCGCGCGUAGGUGGUUUGUUAAGUUGGAUGUGAAAGCCCCGGGCUCAACCUGGGAACUGCAUCCAAAACUGGCAAGCUAGAGUACGGUAGAGGGUGGUGGAAUUUCCUGUGUAGCGGUGAAAUGCGUAGAUAUAGGAAGGAACACCAGUGGCGAAGGCGACCACCUGGACUGAUACUGACACUGAGGUGCGAAAGCGUGGGGAGCGAACAGGAUUAGAUACCCUGUAGUCCACGCCCUAAACGAUGUCAACUAGGUGUUGGGUGGGUAAAACCAUUUAGUACCGUAGCUAACGCGUGAAGUUGACCGCCUGGGGAGUACGGCCGCAAGGUUAAAACUCAAAGGAAUUGACGGGGACCCGCACAAGCGGUGGAUGAUGUGGAUUAAUUCGAUGCAACGCGAAAAACCUUACCUACCCUUGACAUGUCCAGAAGCCCGGAGAGAUUUGGGUGUGCCCGAAAGGGAACUGGAACACAGGUGCUGCAUGGCUGUCGUCAGCUCGUGUCGUGAGAUGUUGGGUUAAGUCCCGCAACGAGCGCAACCCUUGUCGUUAAUUGCCAUCAUUUAGUUGGGCACUUUAACGAGACUGCCGGUGACAAACCGGAGGAAGGUGGGGAUGACGUCAAGUCCUCAUGGCCCUUAUGGGUAGGGCUUCACACGUCAUACAAUGGUCGGUACAGAGGGUUGCCAAGCCGCGAGGUGGAGCCAAUCCCAGAAAGCCGAUCGUAGUCCGGAUUGCAGGCUGCAACUCGCCUGCAUGAAGUCGGAAUCGCUAGUAAUCGCGGAUCAGCAUGUCGCGGUGAAUACGUUCCCGGGUCUUGUACACACCGCCCGUCACACCAUGGGAGCGGGUUCCGCCAGAAGUAGGUAGCCUAACCGUAAGGAGGGCGCUUACCACGGCGGGGUUCGUGACUGGGGUGAAGUCGUAACAAGGUAGCCGUA